GUUCACCUUUUGGAGGUGGAUUACACUUUUCAGGACACCAGAGGACCAUAGAGCAAAUUACUUCUUCCAGAGUGCUAAAUGAUCCCCUGGUGCCCUAGAAAGAGCCGUUUACCUCCAAAAGGUGAGUUGUUUAUU
ensembl:miRNA